UAAGGCCCCUUCGGGGGGGGUACACGAGGCGGCGAACGGGUGAGUAAACGAAGAAGCAACCUGCCCCUGACUCCGGGAUAAGCGGUGGAAACGCCGUCUAAUACCGGAUACGACCUCCCGGCUCAUGCCGGGUGGUGGAAAGUUUUUUCGGUUGGGGAUGGGCUCGCGGCCUAUCAGCUUGUUGGUGGGGUAAAGGCCUACCAAGGCGAUUACGGGUAGCCGGCCUGAGAGGGCGACCGGCCACACUGGGACUGAGACACGGCCCAGACUCCUGCGGGAGGCAGCAGUGGGGAAUCUUGCGCAAUGGGCGAAAGCCUGACGCAGCGACGCCGCGUGGGGGAUGACGGCCUUCGGGUUGUAAACUCCUUUUACCACUCACGCAGGCUCCCGGUUUUCCGGGGGUUGACGGUAGGUGGGGAAUAAGGACCGGCUAACUACGUGCCAGCAGCCGCGGUAAUACGUAGGGUCCGAGCGUUGUCCGGAAUUAUUGGGCGUAAAGAGCUCGUAGGCGGCGUGUCGCGUCUGCUGUGAAAGACCGGGGCUUAACUCCGGUUUUGCAGUGGAUACGGGCAUGCUAGAGGUAGGUAGGGGAGACUGGAAUUCCUGGUGUAGCGGUGGAAUGCGCAGAUAUCAGGAGGAACACCGGUGGCGAAGGCGGGUCUCUGGGCCUUACCUGACGCUGAGGAGCGAAAGCAUGGGGAGCGAACAGGAUUAGAUACCCUGGUAGUCCAUGCCGUAAACGAUGGGCGCUAGGUGUGGGGACUUUCCACGGUUUCCGCGCCGUAGCUAACGCAUUAAGCGCCCCGCCUGGGGAGUACGGCCGCAAGGCUAAAACUCAAAGGAAUUGACGGGGGCCCGCACAAGCGGCGGAGCAUGUUGCUUAAUUAGACGCAACGCGAAGAACCUUACCAAGGUUUGACAUCCCCCGUGUACCUGCAGAGAUGUGGGGUCAUUUAGUUGGCGGGUGACAGGUGGUGCAUGG
rnacentral:rRNA from 1 species